rnacentral:rRNA from 1 species
CCUACGGAGGGCAGCAGUGAGGAAUAUUGGUCAAUGGGCGGAAGCCUGAACCAGCCAAGUAGCGUGCAGGAUGACGGCCCUACGGGUUGUAAACUGCUUUUAUACGGGAAUAACGCGCCUUACGUGUAGGGCUUUGCAUGUACCGUAUGAAUAAGGACCGGCUAAUUCCGUGCCAGCAGCCGCGGUAAUACGGAAGGUCCGGGCGUUAUCCGGAUUUAUUGGGUUUAAAGGGAGCGUAGGCCGCAUGUCAAGCGUGCUGUGAAAUGGCCGGGCUCAACCCGGGCCUUGCAGCGCGAACUGGCGUGCUUGAGUCCGCGGAAAGCAGGCGGAAUUCGUGGUGUAGCGGUGAAAUGCUUAGAUAUGACGAAGAACCCCGAUUGCGAAGGCAGCUUGCUGCAGCGGAACUGACGCUGAUGCUCGAAAGCGCGGGUAUCGAACAGGAUUAGAUACCCCAGUAGUC